UGAAGCUAUUGUUGUGUUGAUCACCAACCCAACACACACAGUUACGCAAUACACGGUUGUACCUGAUCAAUACAUAUUGCACAGAGCGUACCACGCCUUAAAUUGACCCCAUCGUCCCAACAUGAAACACGGGAUACUGCACACCUUGCCAAUAGGCUUGGUAUUCAUCCAUCUCGGAUCUGCAGCUCGAUAUUCUCGGUCCAGCAGUUACCGCAGGACGUAUUACUACAACAGCGGGAGUAGUGGGAGUGGCGACGAUGAAGACACAAUCAUAUCAAGGAAUGUUGUUGGCACUACCGAUUUUUAACAAGAUCCCAAGGCUUUACAGUGACAUGUGCAUUGAUAUGUGUAUUUUGUGGUAUUAUUUGUAUGGUUGUAAAUACCUAACAUUUGUUUAUUUUUAUCUCAUUGGUGUUUGUCUUAUGUUUCUUCCGAAAUUUCAGAAUCAUGUACAUUUAAGUGAGUUAAAAUUUAACGACGCAUCGGCAUUGCUACAGCCAUAUGGCGACCUAUACAUUUAAGAAAUUUAUAGAUGUACAUAUCUUAUAUAACUGGUUUAGUUCCUGAUUCGUUCGAUCUGUAACUCCUUACGAAAAUAGUCUCUGAUAUAAAGCUAUUAAUAGUGAUAUUGCAGUUGCAUUACUUUUUGUAAUCAUUAGGUCUGACAUUACAGACGUGUAGUGAAAUUAAACACACAUUAAGUGCUUCUUGUCAUUAUGUCUGAUAUUGUGAAGUUUACAGUGGUAUUUGACGUUGUUGAAUGUUUUCUUGUAGACAAGUUUGGGACUUUGUAUGUGCCUUUGUUUAUUAAAAAGGUUUGUCAAA
rnacentral:misc_RNA from 1 species